rnacentral:lncRNA from 1 species
AUUUUAAUUGGGGCCUGUGUGCAGGGCUCACCCUAGCUUCGGAGAACGAAGGCUUUCUCUGAUGGGUCUCUGCUCCUGAGCGUGUCACAAGCUCUUGAAAAACCACACGGAACAACCCAGAAAUAGCCAACAGACCAAAGGGAAAACGGUUUGGAGCCAGUUCCACAAAGCGACGGCUUGGUCACCAGGAUGGUGCUGACUGGACAGUGGAGAGCCUUUAGGAGAUGGAGCCUUCGCAAGGGAUUAUGGGAAUUUACUCUCCACACUCUGCUACAUCCUGGCUCCCAUGAAGCUCCUCUGGACGGCAGCAUCACCCCAUGACACGUUACAAGUUCCACAAUUACAGCUGAUUUCAUAUUACAUUUCACGGUGACUGCUUGCUGACGACCUAGAGACGUUCUUCAUUCCUGCACGCCGGCUGCCUCCCGACCACAGCGCAAAGUGACUCUUGUGCCCGUGUGCUGCUGGCCACCAGCUCAGCCAACAGGCCACAACAGCCAUGACCUUGUCCUGGGUGUCAGGGUGACUUGAGGACCACUCUCUACAAACAGUGGAGACUCCUACAGUGAAAGCCUCAAGUUGUAUCUGCUUCCAAGAGGGAGAUGGAGAGUCAGAGUCCCCCGAGGAUUUGAAUAACAGCAGAGAAAAAGCUGAGCUAGAUAGAGUGGCUUGGUGGCUGGAGAGAUGGCUCAGCGGUUAAGAGCACUGACUGCUCUUCCAGAGGUCCUGAGU